GGGAUGCUGAUUGAAGGACCUCCAGGACCUGAGGGACCUGCUGGCCCCACUGGACCCCCUGGAACUUCUGGACCUCCUGGUUCUGUCGGUGACCCCGGAGAGAGGGGCACUCCUGGUAGGCCUGGUCUUCCUGGAGCUGAUGGGGUUCCUGGACCUCCUGGAACUUCACUCAUGCUGCCUUUCCGCUUCGGGCA